rnacentral:lncRNA from 1 species
AUGCGCUCUGCAGCCGGACUCGUAUUUCACUCUCUCGACUUUGGCUUCGCCCUCGUGUGGAGGCAGAUGCAAACUCUUUCCUGGGGAACUCUGGAGAAGAGUUAGCACUGGAGCUCCCUUCAUAUGUCGCAUGGCGGUUGACAUAGGUUUUUCUUUCAAAUGUUGAGCCAGGUGAUUUGGUGAGAGUUGAGCUAGGAGACUGUGUUUGUCUGUAGCCAGACGAUGACGAAUUCAAUCUACCACUUCCACUUGAAGUCACAUAGCCACUGCUAUGGGUGUAAGACCUCUUUUCAACUCCACUUCCUCCAGUGUGGGACGAUGUCUUGAGUCCACUACUGCUCCCUCCUUUGGGUGGUAAAGAUGUCAGUCUUGUUGUUACUGUCUCUGUAAUAAGCCUCUCUGUAACUUCUGAUCCAUCUUGCCUCGUUUUCUUUGUUACAGAAUCCAUAUCAUUUCCACGUUGUUCCCUUUUAUUAGCUCUGUACCUCAC